rnacentral:rRNA from 1 species
UACGAAGGAUGCAAGCGUUAUCCGGAUUUAUUGGGUUUAAAGGGAGCGUAGGCGGUCUUAUAAGUCAGUGGUGAAAUCUUGUCGCUUAACGACAAACGUGCCAUUGAUACUGUAGGACUUGAGUACAGAUGCCGUUGGCGGAAUGUGUCAUGUAGCGGUGAAAUGCAUAGAUAUGACACAGAACACCGAUUGCGAAAGGCAGCUGACGAAACUGUAACUGACGCUGAGGCUCGAAAGCGUGGGGGAUCAAAACAGG